rnacentral:rRNA from 1 species
GAUGAACGCUAGCUACAGGCUUAACACAUGCAAGUCGCGGGGCAGCAUGGGGGUUGCUUGCAAUCCCCGAUGGCGACCGGCGCACGGGUGAGUAACGCGUAUCCAACCUGCCCUUCACCACGGGAUAACCCGGCGAAAGUCGGACUAAUACCGUAUGUUGUCCAUUGACGGCAUCCGAUUUGGACGAAAGGUUUGGCGGUGAAGGAUGGGGAUGCGUCCGAUUAGCUGGACGGCGGGGUGACGGCCCACCGUGGCGACGAUCGGUAGGGGUUCUGAGAGGAAGGUCCCCCACACUGGAACUGAGACACGGUCCAGACUCCUACGGGAGGCAGCAGUGAGGAAUAUUGGUCAAUGGGCGUAAGCCUGAACCAGCCAAGUAGCGUGCAGGAUGUCGGCCCUAUGGGUUGUAAACUGCUUUUAUGCGGGGAUAAAGUGGCCCACGUGUGGGUUUUUGCAGGUACCGCAUGAAUAAGGACCGGCUAAUUCCGUG